UAGAAUUAUGGUUCUUUUAGAAUUUGUCUAGCAGGUUUUCUGGUGACAUCACCAAAAAAUUUAA
rnacentral:snRNA from 1 species